GACGAACGCUGGCGGCGUGCUUAACACAUGCAAGUCGAACGGAAAGGCCCUGCUUUUGUGGGGUGCUCGGGUGGCGAACGGGGGAGUAACACGUGAGUAACCUGCCCUUGACUUUGGGAUAACUUCAGGAAACUGGGGCUAAUACCGGAUAGGAGCUCCUGCUGCAUGGUGGGGGUUGGAAAGUUUCGGCGGGUGGGGAUGGACUCGCGGCUUAUCAGCUUGUUGGUGGGGUAGUGGCUUACCAAGGCUUUGACGGGUAGCCGGCCUGAGAGGGUGACCGGCCACAUUGGGACUGAGAUACGGCCCAGACUCCUACGGGAGGCAGCAGUGGGGAAUAUUGCACAAUGGGCGGAAGCCUGAUGCAGCAACGCCGCGUGCGGGAUGACGGCCUUCGGGUUGUAAACCGCUUUCGCCUGUGACGAAGCGUGAGUGACGGUAAUGGGUAAAGAAGCACCGGCUAACUACGUG
rnacentral:rRNA from 1 species